AUGAACAUGCAAGGCCAGAUUCAUUUUUCUAUAUUAAAAAAUGUGUACUUUCUUUGAAAGUGGGACAAAGAGGAAUACAAGAAACUAAGACUCACAGGAGAGAGUGGAAAGGAUGGAAAACCAGAGCAGCCAGUCAAGAGGGAGUUUCGGUAUCACAGGGACUAUAAAGUGGGCUCGUCUUCCCAAGAUUGGAUUCCAAAUGUCAUGACCAAGACAACCCCACCAUCUGAGAUGGGAGGAUAUUACUGCAAUGUCUGUGACUGUGUGAGAGACUCCAUCAACUUCCUGGAUCAUAUUAAUGGAAAGAAUCAACAGAACCUGGGCAUGCCUAUGCAUGUGGGAUGUUCUAUCCUAGAUCAGGUGAAGAAAGGCUUUGAGGUCGGUCAAUAAGACCUAAACCAGCUGAAGGAUUAUGAUUUUGAGCAGAGGAUGAAGAAACUCAGGAAGAAAAGGCUAAAGCAUUCAAGAAAGAAAAGAAGAACAUGAGAGUGGAGGAGGACUUGACAUUUGAGGAGGAGGAGAUGGUGGCUGUGAUGGGCUUCUUGGCUGUGGUUCCACCAAGAAGAGUUUCUGA